GAUGAACGCUGGCGGCGUGCUUAACACAUGCAAGUCGAACGUGAACCAGCAGCAAUGUUGGGGAAAGUGGCGGACGGGUGAGUAACACGUGGGUGACCUGCCUUGCAGCGGGGGAUAACGAGGGGAAACCUUCGCUAAUACCGCAUAGGCUUACACUGAUGGGAAUGGUGUGGGUAAAACUUUGGUGCUGCAAGAGGGGCCUGCGUCCGAUUAGCUAGUUGGUGAGGUAAAGGCUCACCAAGGCGAUGAUCGGUAGCUGGUCUGAGAGGACGAUCAGCCACACGGGAACUGAGAAACGGUCCCGACUCCUACGGGGGGCGAGCAGUGAGGAAUAUUGGGCAAUGGGCUAACGCCUGACCCAGCAACGCCGCGUGGAGGAUGAAGGUUUUGGUAUUGUAAACUCCUUUUGUGGGGAAGAGUGAGGACGGUACCCCAAGAAUAAGUCACGGCUAACUACGUG
rnacentral:rRNA from 1 species